UACGGAGGGAGCUAGCGUUGUUCGGAUAUACUGGGCGUAAAGCGCACGUAGGCGGCGCCGUAAGUCAGGGGUGAAAUCCCGGAGCUCAACUCCGGAACUGCCUUUGAAACUGCGGUGCUAGAGUCCUGGAGAGGCGAGUGGAAUUCCGAGUGUAGAGGUGAAAUUCGUAGAUAUUCGGAAGAACACCAGUGGCGAAGGCGACUCGCUGGACAGGUAUUGACGCUGAGGUGCGAAAGCGUGGGGAGCAAACAGG
rnacentral:rRNA from 1 species